AUCGCUUCUCGGCCUUUUGGCUCAGAUCAAGUGUAGUAUCUGUUCUUAUCAGUCCUCUCGGUGGUUCGGGCCCCGCCGAUGUGUGACUGGUGGGGAAGGGUGCUGCAUGUAGGGGGUAGGUGUAUCGGGGUGUUUCGGAGCUGGUUUCUGCAUAAAUCAGUUCAACGGCUGCCCUGAUGUGACCUGUU